rnacentral:rRNA from 1 species
CAAGCCUACGGGGGGCAGCAGUAGGGAAUCUUCCACAAUGGACGAAAGUCUGAUGGAGCAACGCCGCGUGAGUGAAGAAGGGUUUCGGCUCGUAAAACUCUGUUGGGAGUGAAGAAAGAUAGAGGUAGUAACUGGCCUUUAUUUGACGGUAAUUACUUAGAAAGUCACGGCUAACUACGUGCCAGCAGCCGCGGUAAUACGUAGGUGGCAAGCGUUGUCCGGAUUUAUUGGGCGUAAAGCGAGGGCAGGCGGGUCAAUAA